CUGCCCUAAUGAUUUCUUCCAACAAGCAGUUCACCAAACUGCUCAGAAAGUUAGCAAGUGGUUCUCCCAAACUAGUGUGAACCGGCUGAAUCCUGCCACCGGGUUAAUUUCAUAUUGGCC